CAUCGCCUUACUCUGCCCUCCACCUUCCCUCUCCCUUCUCUACCUCUUUUCCCCUCUCUCAAGCUUCCACGAUUCACCCCUGGCCACCUGAGAACUCAUCACUCUACAAACUCGGGCAGAUUAAGGCCAAUCAUGGCUGCUGCCACUUCUAGGCUCGGGUAAUCUCGUUUCUGCAACAUCUUUUGUAGCCGAAGACGGUGGCGGUGGCUCCAAUGGCUCCGUUAAUUCUUCAAUUGAAGAUGAUGAAGCUUUGGGAGGUAAAUAUCAACUUCCUCCACCGGAGAUUAAAGAUAUUGUUGAUGCACCACCUCUCCCAGCAUUGUCAUUUUCACCCCAAAAAGACAAAAUACUAUUUCUUAAGAGGAGAUCUUUACCUCCAUUGGCAGAACUAGCUAGACCAGAGGAAAAGCUGGCUGGCAUGCGAAUUGAUGGAAACCAAUAAUGCAAUACUAGAAGCCGAAUGUCAUUCUACAUUGGUAUUGGCAUCCAUCAAUUAUUGCCUGAUGGUACUCUGGGGCCAGAGAAGGAGGUACAUGGCUUCCCAGAUGGUGGUAAGAUCAAUUUUGUUACCUGGUCUGUUGAUGGUAGGCAUUUAGCCUUCAGCAUCCGAGUGGAUGAAGAAGACAACAGUACGCUUAGAUUAUGGGUGGCUGAUGUCGAAACGGGGAAAGCUAGGCCAUUGUUUCAAUCCCCGGAUGUCUAUCUAAAUGCCAUAUUUGAUAAUUAUGUUUGGGUGGAUAACUCUUCUCUAUUAGUUUGCACCAUUCCUUUAUCUCGGGGAGAUCCACCAAAGAAACCUUUGGUUCCCU
rnacentral:misc_RNA from 1 species